GCCCAGAAAUCUCGGUCACACAGACAUAUGCCAAAGCCACGUCGGUCAGGCUGACUCGGCCACGCAGGUCAGCCUGUCUCGGUCAAUCCACAUCUCUGGCGCAUCAUAAUUAAGUCACGUCGGUCAGGCUGACUCGGUCACGAUAGCCAGCCCGCCUCGGUCAGAGGCUAGUCAUGCAGGUCAAGCUAGCUCGGUCACGAAGGCCAGCCAUUAGCAGAACCAGCGCCAAUCCUUGGCACACCAAAUCAAGGCCACGCAGGUCAGACUGGCUCGGUCACGUAGGCCAGCCUGACUCACGC